UGGGGAAUUUUGCGCAAUGGGCGAAAGCCUGACGCGGCAACGCCGCGUGGAGGAUGAAGGCCCUUGGGUUGUAAACUCCUGUCAGCGGGGAAGAAAUACUCUGACCUAAUACGUCAGAGGAUUGACUGUACCCGCAGAGGAAGCCCCGGCUAACUCUGUG
rnacentral:rRNA from 1 species